rnacentral:rRNA from 1 species
AUUGAACGCUGGCGGCAUGCCUUACACAUGCAAGUCGAACGGUAACAGGUUAAGCUGACGAGUGGCGAGCGGGUGAGUAAUGUAUCGGAACGUGCCCAGUCGUGGGGGAUAACUGCUCGAAAGAGCAGCUAAUACCGCAUACGACCUGAGGGUGAAAGCGGGGGAUCGCAAGACCCCGCGCGAUUGGAGCGGCCGAUAUCAGAUUAGGUAGUUGGUGGGGUAAAGGCCCACCAAGCCGACGAUCUGUAGCUGGUCUGAGAGGACGACCAGCCACACUGGGACUGAGACACGGCCCAGACUCCUACGGGAGGCAGCAGUGGGGAAUUUUGGACAAUGGGCGCAAGCCUGAUCCAGCCAUGCCGCGUGCGGGAAGAAGGCCUUCGGGUUGUAAACCGCUUUUGUCAGGGAAGAAAAGGUUCUGGCUAAUACCUGGGACUCAUGACGGUACCUGAAGAAUAAGCACCGGCUAACUACGUGCCAGCCGCCGCAGUAAGAC